UACGUAGGGUGCAAGCGUUACUCGGAAUUACUGGGCGUAAAGCGUGCGCAGGCGGUUCGUUAAGUCAGCUGUGAAAGCCCCGGGCUCAACCUGGGAAUGGCGGUUGAAACUGGCGAACUAGAAUCUGGCAGAGGGGGGUGGAAUUCCACGUGUAGCAGUGAAAUGCGUAGAGAUGUGGAGGAACACCGAUGGCGAAGGCAGCCCCCUGGGCUGAGAUUGACGCUCAGGCACGAAAGCGUGGGGAGCAAACAGG
rnacentral:rRNA from 1 species